rnacentral:misc_RNA from 1 species
AUUUAAGGCGUUGAGAAAGGGUAUAAUAUUCCAACUCUAUUAACAUCCUCACUGAAGGCAAUAUUUAGUCUCACCUUAAUUUGGGAUCCAACUCGGGUUGGAAACCUCCAACCCUAUAGUACCUACCAGCAAGCAACCACGUUCUGUGGUGAGUUAAUAAUGGUAGCAUCUCAUAGAAAAUGCACCUUCCUAUGCCGUCUUUAAAUCCAUUUCUUAUUCUGAGUUCUGUAUUUCCAUAACUCCUAAUACCAUUUUCUUUUCAUCAUUAAAGCUAUUGUUGAGGCAUAUUAUUAUGGAGUCUUCUAAGCCACAGUAUCACGCAGUUAUAUUCCCUUUUAUGUCCAAAGGCCACACCAUCCCACUCCUCCACCUAGCCCACCUCCUCCUCCGUCGUGGGACUGCCGUCACUGUCUUUACAACUCCGGCCAAUCAUCCUUUCACUGCUAAAUUUCUUUCCAAUACCACUGCCUCUAUUAUUGAUCUUCCUUUCCCUGAAAAUGUACCUGAAAUCCCUUCAGGCAUCGAAAGUACGGACAAACUACCCUCCAUAUCACUAUAUCCUCAGUUUGCUCUUGCCACCGAACGUAUGCAACCGGACUUUGAAAGGGCGCUAGAAAGUUUCCCAGUUGUCAACUUCAUGGUGUUUGAUGGCUUCCUUUGGUGGGCUGCAGAGUCUGCUGUGAAGUUUGGUAUUCCAAGACUGUUAUUUUAUGGUAUGUCCAAUUACGCCUCUGGCCUGUCAAAAGUUGUAGCAGAGAGUAGGGCCUUGUUUGGGCCUGAGUUAGAUGACGAGUUAAUCAAUGUGAGUGAGUUUCCAUGGAUUAAGGUUACUAGAAAUGAUUUUGAACCGGUGUUCAGAGACCCUGAAUUAAAAGGUCCUCACUUUGAGUUCCUGGUAAAAUCAUUGACAGGAGCAUCAGUAAGUAAUGGUUAUAUAUCAAAUAGCUUCUACGAACUUGAACCUGUUUUCGUCGAUUACUGUAACCGCACGCGAAAGACCUGGUGUGUUGGGCCCUUGUGCCUAGCCAAUACACCACGGGUUGAAACUGAACCACAAAGGAAACCCACUUGGAUUCAGUGGUUAGAUGAAAAGCUAAAGCAAGGAAGCUCGGUCCUAUACGUGGCGUUUGGGUCUCAGGCGGAGAUCUCAGCAGAACAGCUCAAGGAGAUAAGAACUGGUUUGGAAGAAUCUAGGGUAAACUUCCUGUGGGUUAUAAGGGAAAAAGAAUCAGAGUUGGGAGAUGGGUUUGAAGAGAGGGUGAAGGAAAGAGGAAUUAUAGUGAGCGAUUGGGUGGAUCAAAUGGAGAUAUUAAUGCACCCAAGUAUACAAGGGUUCUUGAGCCACUGUGGAUGGAACUCAGUACUAGAGAGCAUAUGUGCAGGAGUGCCAAUUCUUGCAUGGCCCAUGAUGGCAGAGCAGCACUUAAAUGCAAGAAUGGUGGUGGAGGAGAUAAAAAUAGGGUUGAGAGUAGAAACCUGUAAUGGAUCAGUGAGAGGGUUUGUGAAAUGGGAAGGUUUAGAAAAGAUGGUGAAGGAGUUGAUGGAAGGAGAGAUGGGGAAGAAGGUAAGAAAAAAGGUGAACGAGUUUGCAGAGAUGGCCAAGAAAGCUAUGGAGGAAGGUACUGGCUCAUCCUGGCGCACGUUAGACAUUCCUCUUCAGGAGUUUUGCCGUAGCAAAGAUGACGUGAAUGAGAAUGAAUAGUGUCUUUUUUUUUUCAUCUUACCCUGAAAAUUAUAAUAAUAUAAGGGUUUAUUUUAUACGUUAGAAUUAAAAAUAAGAUAGAUUAUAGAGUGCAUUUUGUGUGUAUGUAUUUUUUUUAUCUGAAUAUAAAAUUUUAUUUUCUUCAAA